UGAAGUACCCUGCCCUUAACUCUGGGAUAAACCUGGGAAACUGGGUCUAAUACCGGAUAGGAGCGUCCACCGCAUGGUGGGUGUUGGAAAGAUUUAUCGGUUUUGGAUGGACUCGCGGCCUAUCAGCUUGUUGGUGAAGGUAAUGGCUCACCCAAGGCGACGACGGGUAGCCGGCCUGAGAGGGUGACCGGCCACAUUGGGACUGAGACACGGCCCAGACUCCUACGGGAGGCAGCAGUGGGGAAUAUUGCACAAUGGGCGAAAGCCUGAUGCAGCGACGCCGCGUGAGGGAUGACGGCCUUCGGGUUGUAAACCUCUUUCAGUAGGGAAGAAGCGAAAGUGACGGUACCUGCAGAAGAAGCACCGGCUAACUACGUGCCAGCAGCCGCGGUAAUACGUAGGGUGCGAGCGUUAUCCGGAAUUAUUGGGCGUAAAGAGCUCGUAGGCGGUUUGUCGCGUCUGUCGUGAAAGUCCGGGGCUUAACCCCGGAUCUGCGGUGGGUACGGGCAGACUAGAGUGCAGUAGGGGAGACUGGAAUUCCUGGUGUAGCGGUGGAAUGCGCAGAUAUCAGGAGGAACACCGAUGGCGAAGGCAGGUCUCUGGGCUGUAACUGACGCUGAGGAGCGAAAGCAUGGGGAGCGAACAGGAUUAGAUACCCUGGUAGUCCAUGCCGUAAACGUUGGGCACUAGGUGUGGGGACCAUUCCACGGUUUCCGCGCCGCAGCUAACGCAUUAAGUGCCCCGCCUGGGGAGUACGGCCGCAAGGCUAAAACUCAAAGGAAUUGACGGGGGCCCGCACAAGCGGCGGAGCAUGCGGAUUAAUUCGAUGCAACGCGAAGAACCUUACCAAGGCUUGACAUGUUCUCGAUCGCCGUAGAGAUACGGUUUCCCCUUUGGGGUGGGUUCACAGGUGGUGCAUGGUUGUCGUCAGCUCGUGUCGUGAGAUGUUGGGUUAAGUCCCGCAACGAGCGCAACCCUCGUUCCAUGUUGCCAGCACGUCGUGGUGGGGACUCAUGGGAGACUGCCGGGGUCAACUCGGAGGAAGGUGAGGACGACGUCAAAUCAUCAUGCCCCUUAUGUCUUGGGCUUCACGCAUGCUACAAUGGCCGGUACAAUGGGUUGCGAUACUGUGAGGUGGAGCUAAUCCCAAAAAGCCGGUCUCAGUUCGGAUUGGGGUCUGCAACUCGACCCCAUGAAGUCGGAGUCGCUAGUAAUCGCAGAUCAGCAACGCUGCGGUGAAUACGUUCCCGGGCCUUGUACACACCGCCCGUCAAGUCACGAAAGUUGGUAACACCCGAAGCCGGUGGCCUAACC
rnacentral:rRNA from 1 species